rnacentral:rRNA from 1 species
GAUGAACGCUGGCGGCGUGCCUAAUACAUGCAAGUCGAGCGAACAGACGAGGAGCUUGCUCCUCUGACGUUAGCGGCGGACGGGUGAGUAACACGUGGAUAACCUACCUAUAACACUGGGAUAACUUCGGGAAACCGGAGCUAAUACCGGAUAAUAUAUUGAACCGCAUGGUUCAAUAGUGAAAGACGGUUUUGCUGUCACUUAUAGAUGGAUCCGCGCCGCAUUAGCUAGUUGGUAAGGUAACGGCUUACCAAGGCAACGAUGCGUAGCCGACCUGAGAGGGUGAUCGGCCACACUGGAACUGAGACACGGUCCAGACUCCUACGGGAGGCAGCAGUAGGGAAUCUUCCGCAAUGGGCGAAAGCUUGACGGAGCAACGCCGCGUGAGUGAUGAAGGUCUUCGGAUCGUAAAACUCUGUUAUUAGGGAAGAACAAAUGUGUAAGUAACUAUGCACGUCUUGACGGUACCUAAUCAGAAAGCCACGGCUAACUACGUG